rnacentral:rRNA from 1 species
UACGUAGGUCCCGAGCGUUGUCCGGAUUUAUUGGGCGUAAAGCGAGCGCAGGUGGUUUAUUAAGUCUGGUGUAAAAGGCAGUGGCUCAACCAUUGUAUGCAUUGGAAACUGGUAGACUUGAGUGCAGGAGGGGAGAGUGGAAUUCCAUGUGUAGCGGUGAAAUGCGUAGAUAUAUGGAGGAACACCAGUGGCGAAAGCGGCUCUCUGGUCUGUAACUGACGCUGAGGUUCGAAAGCGUGGGUAGCAAACAGG